rnacentral:rRNA from 1 species
CGCGCAGGCGGAUAUUUAAGUCGGUCGUGAAAUCUCCCGGCCCCAACUGGGAGGGGUCGUCCGAGACUGGGUGUCUUGAGGGCAGCAGAGGUAGGUGGAAUUCCUGGUGUAGUGGUGAAAUGCGUAGAGAUCAGGAGGAACACCGGUGGCGAAGGCGGCCUACUGGGCUGUCACUGACGCUGAGGCGCGAAAGCUCGGGGAGCGAACG